rnacentral:rRNA from 1 species
UACGGAGGGGGCUAGCGUUGUUCGGAAUUACUGGGCGUAAAGCGCGCGUAGGCGGCUUUGUAAGUUAGAGGUGAAAGCCUGGUGCUCAACACCAGAAUUGCCUUUAAGACUGCAUCGCUUGAACGUCGGAGAGGUGAGUGGAAUUCCGAGUGUAGAGGUGAAAUUCGUAGAUAUUCGGAAGAACACCAGUGGCGAAGGCGGCUCACUGGACGACUGUUGACGCUGAGGUGCGAAAGCGUGGGGAGCAAACAGG